rfam:Triticum urartu cultivar G1812 contig998844, whole genome shotgun sequence.
UUUUUACUGCCUUCAUUCCAAAUUACUUGUCUUAGAUUUAUCUAGAUAUGGAGGUAUCUAACAUUAAAAUGAAUCUAGAUACAUCCGUAUCGUAUCUAGAAAUCCAAAACAAGUAAUUCGGAACGGAGGGAGUACUUU